rnacentral:rRNA from 1 species
UACAGAGGGUGCGAGCGUUGUUCGGAAUUAUUGGGCGUAAAGGGCGCGUAGGCGGUGCCACAAGUCACUUGUGAAAUCCCCGGGCUUAACUCGGGGCCUGCAGGCGAAACUGUGGUGCUGGAGUAUGGGAGAGGUGCGUGGAAUUCCCGGUGUAGCGGUGAAAUGCGUAGAUAUCAGGAGGAACACCGAUGGCGAAGGCAGGUCUCUGGGCUGACACUGACGCUCAUGCACGAAAGCGUGGGGAGCAAGCAGG